rnacentral:lncRNA from 1 species
CAAAUGAGAGCGCAGGGCUAACGCGCCUCCUCCCUCUCGCCCCACCUCUGUGUGAGCGACCCAGUGAAAGAUGAGCCCUUGAGGCACAUUCCCUAGUAGAUUUAAAUGACAAAUCUAGAAAGAAGAGGUUUAAAUAUUUAUGAAGAGGCGGAGAGGUGUAGAGUGUCUUCCGGAAACGCUUCUGAUUGGCUGGUGUUUUCAAGCAAGUGUUAGUUUUAUGAAAUGUCUGCCACAGCCGACUGACAAGCUCCCGGCGGCCUGAGAAGUAGUAUGCAAAUUUUGGAUGAUUGACACCUACAGUAGAAACCAAUCAUGCCAAAGCAGGAUGCUGAUUGGUUGACAACAAUUUGACGUAAACCUUGACGUUUUAAAAACCUGACACCCAAUCCAGGCGAUUCAUGCAAAUAAAGGAAGGGAGUCACAUUACCGGGGGCUGGAGAGACUUGAGUACGACCCCACGUGUUCAGUGGUGGAUAUUGCACAGACGUCGGCAAGGUCUAAAAAGAGAAGAGUUCGUGCUGUCCUCACAUCAAGGCCAGAAUAAGAACUUACGGUCGACAGCCCUCUAGCUGGGAAAGUUCAUGAUUUCUUCAACCAUUUAUACAAGCAGAAUAAUUGCACACUCACUUUUGAUUACUCUGCCCUGUAAUUAUGCAUUUUAAAAUUGCAUUCAGCCUUUAAAAAUAAAUCUACUUAAGAAAACUUUCAGAAUAUAGCCAUUAGCCCUCAUUUUACAAGAAGGCGGGUUCAUUAGGUCUGUUGCUUUGUGCUCUGUCGGUUGACUUUUGUUUAGCCAGAAACUAAUGAUUAGGGUGCCAACGUUUACUUACAUCUCCCUCUGACAUCCUAACUGUGGGUGAAUUUUCUGGCCCAGCACCAGAUCCCUAGUGUCUGCAGGGCAAGAAUCUGCACAUUUUCACCAGUCCCGGUUUCCAG